CGGGGAGUAGUAUAAUGGUAGUACAUAUGCUUUGGGAGCAUAUAGCCCGAGUCCGAUUCUCGGCUCCCCGA
rnacentral:tRNA from 1 species